GUGAAAACAAAUCCCACACUCAAUUGUUUUGGGGCUUGAAAUGAGUUCACAAAAGUCUUGGGUUGACAAAAGUAGCGUAGUAUAUGAAUGAAAUUAAAAAUAAAUGUCUAAAAUGAAAUUUUUUUAAAUCCCU